GCCCUCGCGCCCGGUUUCCCACCACCCUAGACCCGGCCUCGGGCCCGAACCUCCAGUAAUCCCAGCUAGGCUCCCCCAGGACCCGGACCCACCAGGGUGGGGAACUCUGCUACCCCUUCCAGAGAGCCACGAGGCUUCCAGACCCACCACCCAAGCACGCAAGUGGAUCUGGGGAACCCCCUUUCCCGGUCCUGGCAUGUGACCCCCUCCUCCUGGUGAUGCUGCCCUCGGGAUACUCCACACGGGUUGGGAGCACCCCGAGGUUCCUUCUAGAUAAUCGCAGGUCCCCAGCGAGUUCCCACCACCACCACAUCAGGGAACCGAUCCCCUUCCCACUGUUAAUGUUACUGCACCUACCACCCUAAACCCACACACACUGAGAAAGGGCCAGUGGCUUCCUCCCUUCCUCUCCUGUCCCAACUACUGGACUCCCUACCCCCCACCGCGAUAAGGCACCCCUAUUGCCUCUUAAGGGGACAUUCCCGGCACCCAUGCGAAACAUAUGCCAUUUACUAGGGUCCUUUAAUUUCUUCUGCUUAGCUCUGGUCUCUCUAGUUCUAGAUUGGGACUACCUCCCCCGUGCCAAACACAUACACACACACACACACACACACACACACACACACACACACACACACACACACACCUCAGUUAUUCUGUUUACUUACCAUGGGUGAAAAAAAACGCUUCAGCCUUUCCACUCCUGCCCACCCUGUUGGCCAUGUCCCGUUUCCUUAACACUGUGUGACCGCACACUAGGAGAGGGUUCCUCUGUCCCUGUCCCCCCAGUCUUCAAAUAUGUAUUUCCCCUAUUAUCAGGACAGAGUCCCCUGGGGCUUAGUCCUUCUCCACACACUGUGAGUCCACCUCCCUGAGCUCUCCACCCGGAACCCCUUCACUCAGCGGCGGGCGGUGCAGUGGUGACUCCCCUGCCCUUUAUCAGAAGGCAGCCCUCUUCUCAGCAAUAGUCUUCCCCCUCCCAUACAAUCCCCGGUGCCCGGUACCCGGUACCCGGCGCCCUGUUCCCGUACUCUCUGGGCAGAAAGGGGACCCCUUGCUAUGUGCCCUGCCUGGGGUCUCCAACCGCCACACUCCAGUUCCUGUGAUCCCAAGCUGUACCCUUACCAGAUUAGGGUGUCCCCUAGACCUGCGGGCCCAGCCAUUCCACGCCCGCCCCACAAAAUAAAGCAAUAUGGAGGGGAUAGAGAGAGUACCCAUGGGGGUAGAGAAGGUGCCCUCCAUAGGACCGUCGGCCCUACUUUGAUCAAGCCACCUAUGGUUCCUGGAAAGGAAACAGUCCUCCAGGUACCAGGCCCGAGUAGGGCGCAGAGGGAUCCAAACCACUGAAGCUGAGUUUUGGGUGGGGUACGCAGGGAGUCCCAAAGCAGAAAACUGCAGGCAGGUAAAGGAUUGAGAGCCCCAGCCACACCCAGCUGACAAUACCCAGACACCAAUCGGGAAGCCCGUGAAGGGGGCGUUUCCUCCAUCCGGGGUCCAGAGAGGGCUUUCCUGCGUCCCACUUCCCACUUCCCACCCAGUCUGUGGGUGACUAGAAAGUCCCUCGUGCUGCUGGAAUACACUCCCAAACUUCUCCAUGGAGGUUCCAGGGUGAGGGGAUACCCACUGGCUUCAGUCUGCGCUGACUGACUAGGCCAGGAGAGCAGGAAUCCGCAUUCCUUGCUUUUGAAUCUUAGGGCAACUGUGACUUCCAGGUAGAGCCAGCCUGUGGGAGUGUCCCAGAGGAUAUUCGUGUGUCAUAGAUCUCUGUUGAGAUAGGACUGAGGCGGUGCAGCCCACACAUGCCUCCCAGCAGCCCUGUGACCCAGGACUUUACAGCUACAAAAUGACAGGAUUAGGAUUCGAACUCAGACAGCAUAGCUUCAAAAGCCCCAGCCUUCCCUUCAGAACUGUCUCUCACAGAUGCCUGUGUCAGUGUCUCAAAUCACAUCCUGACACCUCUCUCUCUCUCUCUCUCUCUCUCUCUCUCUCUCUCUCUCUCUCCCCCCGUCUCUCUCCCCCCCCCCCGCUGUGUGACACCCCCAAAGAGCAAACUCGGGAGAGACCACUUGGAUUUGUGGGGAACCCGUGGGGACAAUGGUCUGGAAGCUGUGUUUGUACUCAGUUUCACACAGGCUGUUUUGGGGGGAGCAGUUUAAUUGAGAGGUGCUUUUGUGGAGAUGAGAGAGUCCUGGCCUCCUCAGAGCUACCUCUUGGCACUAGUGCUGCGUGCUGGGGUGUUGGGAGGGGCAGGAAGGAGCCAGAAAGCUGGACCUCAGGAGAAGGAAACGCCACUCGCCAGGGUCCCUUGCUGGGGCACAGAGCUGCUGAUGUUGUAUUCAGGGAAACAAGGCUUCACUGUGCCCCAUCAGCCCAGCCCAGCCGGGGCCCGGCUGGGAACAGCCACAGCUAGCUUCUCAGAGCACAAAAUACACGAUCUGUUUCCACUGUGCAAGCGGCGGUUGCCUCCUGGGGCCCAGCAGGUCCCAGGAUCUGAGCCAGGGCUCUGUUGAGAGCAGAGGGCAGGGAGGAGUGGAACUGGUGCCCUUGGAAAGUGGAGCUAGCUUUUCCUUGGCGGCUAGGAGGCCAGGCUUCCUGCGUCAUCUUCCUUGUCAUCCCUGGACCUCAGUCUACCCCUGUGUAAGAGGAAUGGGCUGUGUGUGAUGAGUCUCAAAGACACUUAUGUUCUAGCCUUAUUUCUAAGGGCUCUGGAGCACUGAUGUUCUUCAGAACUGCGGUGCAGUCUUCUGGUCCAUGCAUUCAGUGUGGACGAGCAGAUACCGCCUGAGAACAGUGGUUGAGGGAGUGCCGGAGGAAACAGCACUGCCAGCUGACUCCAGCCCCUCUCCCCAUUUUACAGACAGGAAAACUGAGAUCCAGAAGAGAGAAGUGACCAGCUCGGAAUCAUGGGUUUUUCUGGAGGUGGGGCCUAGAGAUGACAUGUACUGAGUUUCCCCCUUUGGUCCGGCAUCUUAGAGCCUGUACCCCACCCUCUUGCCCUACCCCUCGUGGCCUCAGACUCUAUCCCUUCUCUCUCACACACACACUCAGCCUCCUCCCCUCUCUCUACCCACUCAUCCAGAGUUGUUUCUAGAAGUUUCCAAGACAAAAAGGCAUGGGACAGAUCCACAAAAUUUCAGGGAUGGCUACCCUCUGAGCCGAUAACAGCCCAGGGAGAACUCUGGAAGGUUCUGUAAGCUGAUGCUUGCCUGGAAGGCAGGCACACAUAAUUGUGAACGAGCUGUGGAAUCUGAGGAAGGUGCCCUAGUUCCUUGUCCCGUCUGGCCAGCCUCCUCCCCACCCACUUCAUCCCAUGACCCCUUGCAGCAGGCAGGCAAGGUCCCCUUUCUUUCUGGCUUCCCAUCACAAGCUCCUGGGGCCACCGGGCCUCCUCUCUCUUCCCUUCCUGCUUGACAGUCUGCAGCCCUAUGAGGCUGUGGAUUUAGCAGCAUGUGGACCUAGAGCACAUUCCUUAACCCUCUCUGGGUCUCUUUCCUCACCUGAUGGUGCUGUCAGAUGCGUAACCUAGGACUUGGCACUGAAUCAGUACUUACUAACUUACUGUCACCACUGUCCCAAGUUCACCAUAUGCCCUGGCCCUGGCGGCAGCCAUCAGCACCGAUCCUGAGGUAGCUCAGAAUGAGCCUCUGGCUGCCUCUGCUUCCCCCCAACAGAGCUGCCAGGCUGUGAGGCUGGCAGCAGCCCUUUGCAUUGGGCAGGGAUGACAGGGAUGCAACCCGUUGCCACUUUUCCUCUUGCCCAACAGACGCUCUGAUUGACGGCUACAUAUUGCUUUGAUAAAUAACAGAAAUAGAGAGAUGAAUUCAUUAUCACUUAAUUACGUGGCAGGCAGGUGGUAGAAGAAAAGGGGAGAGCUAACGGCAGCCCUUGGAGCGACACAAAACUGGGACACACGGGCCCUUGCCACCCAGCUGGGUGUCUGAGCAGGGUACUGGGCUUCUGAGCCUCGGUGUCUCCUGGGGUCUUAGGACCUACCUGACAAUUGCGAGUGGGGAAACAGAACUGUCACAGGUUUGGCCUGGGGUCUGGGUCAUGGAUGGUCUUAGAAGCAAAAGGUGCCACCUGCCACCCAGCAGCUAUCUUUCUCAAGUUUUGCAUACAAAAAUCCAGCUGCAGGCACGGUCUUUGGGAAUUCUAUGGUGGGUCCACAGGGCCAGUAAUGGAAGGCUUCUGUGUGUCUACCGUUAGGAAAGACUGCAGCCACGGGUCCCCACAGCAGCCUGGGGGUGGUGUCGAAUUAAAGGUGUCCCCAGCCCUGUCCUUACUAGAGAGUCCCAGGGGAACUCACCUCAAUUACUUAGAGGUCAAGUUUAGUCCUCAAGACUCAAAGAGGUGAGUCACUUGGCCAAGGUGGUGAGUGCUACUUGUAUGAUUAGCUCUAGGAGGCUAGCAGGCUUGGUGGGGGUUGAGGUGCCUCCUACCCCAGGGAGGAAGUAUUCCCAACAAGGACCUCUUCUCUUUUCCACCCACUUCCCCUCUGCGUCUGAGUCACCUCUCCUUCCCCUCCUGGGGACUUUCUGAUUGGUGGGGGGAGCGGUGGUUACACCUCCCAUUGCCCCACCUCCCUCCUUCCCAACCUUCUGGUUGAGGUCCAGGCCUGGCCCAAGGGUCAUCAGGACUUCCAGAGGCAGGUUGGAGGCCCCCUUCUGCAAGGACGGCUCCUCUGAGGAGUUAGUCACGUCACAGCCUCUUACAAGGAACGGUGCCCACACCCUGCAGUCGCUGAGUUCCUUCUGGCUGUCUCAACAGCCUUCUUGCAAAGCGGAAGUCCAGCUUUGCAAAAACAGAGCAGGCUGCAGGGCCAGGCAGGUGUGGCUAGCUGGGCCCAGCCUGGCUGUGCUGAGCAGGAAGUCCUUUUUAGGACUCAGCCGUUUGACGGAUGAAUGAGGCCUCAGUUGACCCACUGGGUAGCAGGAUCUUGACUCUCUUCUUCUUCUUCUUCUUACUACUACUACUACUACUACUACUACUACUAUUACUACUUAUUGUUAUUGUUGUUAUUAUUAUUAUUAUUAUUAUUAUUGGUGUUUUGCCUUUGGAGGAUAUUGCAUUCCCCAAACUGGAGUUAUACACAGUGGAAGUUUCCAUAUGGGUGCUGGGAAUUGAACCCAGGUCCUCUGCGAGAACAGCAAGUGCUCUUAACCACACUGAGCCAUCUCUCCAGUCCUGCUGGCUCCCUUCCUGAUACUACCGGCCAUUUCACAGGCCUUCAUGUCUCACUCGUAACCUGGAGCUAUCAGAAAAUGCAUCUCCCCAAGUGCUUCCCAAUUCUGGUGGCACUGGCCUGUCAUCCCAGCUGCUCAGGCGCCUGAGGCAGGGGGAUAGAAAAACUCAAGGCCAGCCUGUGCUGCAAAGUAGGUUCGAGACCAGCCUGGGCCACUCUGCAAGACCUCAGCAUGCAUGGGACCCUGGGGUUAAUCCCCAGCAUCACAGAAAGAGACCAAGAAAGAGAAAGUACAAGGCCAGUCUGUCUACUUCCAUUUCCCUUCCUGGUGACGGCGGGCAGGUGACUUUGUCUGUGUGAUCUCUUCAGGAGUACUGUGAAUGGAGUCAAGAGUGGGUAACAACAUUGGGUUAUAUUCAUAGUCGGUAUCAUAAGUGAUUAUUAAAGGUGGGCGGAGAAUAGAGCGACGGCAAGACGCUCCCACAUCGCCACCUUGGCUCAGCCCGUGGGUGGUGUCAAACUUGAGGUUAAGACAACCCUGAGUCUUGGCAGCUCUCUGGCAAGUAGCUCUCAGCUUGUAGGCUCUCACUGGACCUUCUGGAAAACAGGAGAGGAGGGCCUGUGAGCACUGCACACUACUUGGUCCCUAAACCCCUGAUAUUCAUGGUAAUAAGAGAGCACGGAGACUGGGGGCCGGAGACUGGGGGGCUGCUGAGACCAGCGUCCCUUCAGCAGUCGAUCCUCCUGUGGCCAUUUGGAAGCAGCAACACAGGCCUGGGCUGGGUGCCAGAAGGGACAGAAUGUGGUUAGUUCCCUGUACCCCUUUGCUGGGGCAACAGCUGUGAUAAUGGCUUCGCUUCAGCCAGCACAGCAGGGCUGGGGCUGGGGGAGCGAGGGCUGCCUACCUGAGGGAACAGUGAGCCCUCUGUCCUCAGAGGAAUUCAAGGCACCAAGCAGGGAAAAACCACAUUGGGAGUUUGGCCCUUACGGCCGGCCGGGCUGGCUGAAGUGACCUCCACUCACUACCCUUUCUAUCCCUGGGACUCUCCAACCCAGCGUCUGGAGGCAGCCGGAUAUAGUGUGGUUUUGUUUUGUUUUGUUUUAUCACAGUUGGACCCCACCUGCACCCAUGCUGACCUUGGCCAGUGCACUUUCUUUCUGCCUGAGCCUCCUCGAAAAGGAUGUCUGGAGGGAGAAUGCCACCCUUGUGACUCGGGGUUAUCAGGACGGAGGGCGAGGACAGACAGAGAUGGGGGAGAGCGGCUGAAUAAGAUCGCAUUCAGACCUAAAGACAGGGUCAGCCUGGGUGGCAGCUGGAGGGAGGGUGGAUGGGAGGGAUCUUUUUUGUCACAUCCAGGGCAGCAGCUGCUGAGCCCUCCCCUGGUGUGAACUAUGCAUGGGGAGGGAGGCUGGAAUGUGGGCUGGGUGCCAGGCAGCCACAACGUCGUUGCCGUCGUUGCCGUCCUGUCCCUCGGAUGUUGAGAAAAGGUGCUGAGCUCCAAAGCCUGAGUUUUGUUAUCAGAGCUUGGUGACAUUGGCUUUCCUGAACCAGGCCCAAGAGCCCCCAAGGGGAGCAUCAGGCCCAGCCCCAGAGGCCUAUGAGGAAGUGGGAGUCAGAGGGAGGAGUCCAGCUAGUAAUAUCCCACCUGCUGUGUGGAAUUAUCAUUCCCCUGCCCUGGGCCCCAAUUUUCCUCCAUAAGCUGGUGGGCCAGGCUAGGUGGAUGAACCCUGAGGGCCAACCUUUCCUUCCUGUAUCCUCGGAGCCUCCUGGAGCCUCAUUUCCAGCUCAGAAAGAAAGGCAGCAGGAUGAGAGGGCCUCCCCAGCCUCGCCUCUCUCAUGAGAACACCAUCAUUUCCCACAGUUGUUCACUUGCUUGGAGGUGUGGGGACAGUCUCCACUGUUACCCCCUUACAGGGAGGAAAGCAGGGCGACCAGGGGCUACCUGCUUAAGGCUCCAGUCCCCUACAGUUUAGCCAGACCCCCUAAGGUGCUGGAUCUUUAAGUCAAGCCUAGAAGGGGGAGAGAAUGCUAAGCCCCUUGGCCAUCUAUCCAGUCUGACUUCCUACCCCUCAGGUCACUCCACUCCUCCCAAUUCUGUAGGGAGCUAGGCCUAGACCCCUUGGAGAAGCCAGCAUGGGUUUGUUUGUACGACCGCCUUACCUAGACUCGAAAA